rnacentral:rRNA from 1 species
CAGCAGCCGCGGGAAUACCGAGGGUGCGAGCGUUAAUCGGAUUUACUGGGCGUAAAGCGUGCGUAGGCGGCUUCUUAAGUCGGAUGUGAAAUCCCUGAGCUUAACUUAGGAAUUGCAUUCGAUACUGGGAAGCUAGAGUAUGGGAGAGGAUGGUAGAAUUCCAGGUGUAGCGGUGAAAUGCGUAGAGAUCUGGAGGAAUACCGAUGGCGAAGGCAGCCAUCUGGCCUAAUACUGACGCUGAGGUACGAAAGCAUGGGGAGCAAACAGGAUUAGAUACCCCCGUAGUCCCUGUCUCUUAUAU